rnacentral:rRNA from 1 species
GAUGAACGCUAGCGGCAGGCUUAACACAUGCAAGUCGAGGGGUAUAGGGAGCUUGCUUCCUAGAGACCGGCGCACGGGUGCGUAACGCGUAUGCAAUCUACCUUUUGCAGAGGGAUAGCCCAGAGAAAUUUGGAUUAAUACCUCAUAGUAUAGCAAUUUCGCAUGAAACCACUAUUAAAAGUUCCAACGGUGAAAGAUGAGCAUGCGUCCCAUUAGCUAGAUGGUAAGGUAACGGCUUACCAAGGCUACGAUGGGUAGGGGUCCUGAGAGGGAGAUCCCCCACACUGGUACU